rnacentral:rRNA from 1 species
GAUGAACGCUGGCGGCGUGCCUAAUACAUGCAAGUCGAGCGAACAGACGAGGAGCUUGCUCCUCUGACGUUAGCGGCGGACGGGUGAGUAACACGUGUAUAACCUACCUAUAAGACUGGGAUAACUUCGGGAAACCGGCGCUAAUACCGGAUAAGAUAUUGAACCGCAUGGUUGAAUAGUGAAAGACGGUUGUGGUGGCACGUAUAGAUGGAUCCGCGCCGCAUUAGCUGGUUGGUACGGUAACGGCUUACCAAGGCAACGAUGCGUAGCCGACCUGAGGGGGGGAUCGCCCACCUUGGAGCUGGGCCACGGUCCAUACGCCUGCGGUAGGCAGCAGUCGGGAAUCUUCCGCAGUGGGCGAGAGUCUUGCGGAGCAACGCCGCGUGAGUGGUGAAGGUCUUCCGAUCGUAAAACUCUGUUAUUAGGUAAGAACAAAUGUGUAAGUAACUAUGCACGUAGUGACGGUACCUAGUCAGAAAGCCACGGCUAACUACGUG